AGUAAGGUCAGCUAAAUAAGCUUUCGGGCCCAUACCCCGAACAUGUUGGUUAAAGUCCUUCCCCUGCUA
rnacentral:tRNA from 1 species